GAUGAACGCUGGCGGCGUGCCUAAUACAUGCAAGUCGAGCGAACAGACGAGGAGCUUGCUCCUCUGACGUUAGCGGCGGACGGGUGAGUAACACGUGGGUAACCUACCUAUAAGACUGGGAUAACUUCGGGAAACCGGAGCUAAUACCGGAUAAUAUAUCGAACCGCAUGGUUCGAUAGUGAAAGAUGGCUUUGCUGUCACUUAUAGAUGGAUCUGCGCCGCAUUAGCUAGUUGGUAAGGUAACGGCUUACCAAGGCAACGAUACGUAGCCGACCUGAGAGGGUGAUCGGCCACACUGGAACUGAGACACGGUCCAGACUCCUACGGGAGGCAGCAGUAGGGAAUCUUCCGCAAUGGGCGAAAGCCUGACGGAGCAACGCCGCGUGAGUGAUGAAGGUCUUCGGAUCGUAAAACUCUGUUAUUAGGGAAGAACAAACGUGUAAGUAACUGUGCACGUCUUGACGGUACCUAAUCAGAAAGCCACGGCUAACUACGUG
rnacentral:rRNA from 1 species